rnacentral:lncRNA from 1 species
GGCGCCCACCACCAUGUCCGGUUAAUAUUUUGUAUUUUUAGUAGAGAUGGGGUUUCACCAUGUUGGCCAGACUGGUCUCGAAUUCCUGCCCCCAGGUGAUCCACCUGCCUCAGCCUCCCAAAGUGCUGGGAUUAUAGGCACGAGCCACUGUGCCCAGCCAACAGGUCGAUAUUUUUGAUUUAAGAUGGCUUAUUCGGCCGUAACUCCAUCGUAAAUGGCUCACUGCAGCCUCGACCUCCUGGCCUCAAGCGAUCCUCCCACCUCAGCAUCCCAAGUAGCUGGGAUUACAGGUGUGUGCUACCACACCUGGUUAAUUUUUAUAUUUUUUGUAGAGUCAAGGUUUUGCCAUGUUGCCUAGGCUGGUCUCAAACUCCUGAGCUCAAGUGAUCGUCUCACCUGGCCUCCUAAAGUGCUGGGAUUACAAGCAUGAGCCACCACACCCUGCCCCCGAGGCGGCUUUUAACCAGCAUCUGGGGUGACCAAUCUAAGUAGACAGGGUCAGGACAACACUGAUGUGUAUACAGAUGCUGUUUCCCUGCUGUUCUCUUCUAAGUAUGAAUCCCGGUCCCCUUUGCAGACCCAGUAGGUGAAUCCAAUUACGUAGAGCAGGGGACUGUGGAGCUGUGUUGUGAGCAGCACCCAGGUGAUGCCCCAUGGCAGCAUGUCCCACAUUCCUUCCAUCUUUUAAAAAAAAUUUUUCUCGGUGGCAGUCUUGCUCUGUCGCCUAGGCUGGGGUACAGUGGUGCAAUCUCAGCUCAUUGCAGCCUCAACCUCCCGGGUUCAAGCAAUCCUCCCACCUUGGCCUCCCAAAGCCCUGGGAUUGCAGGUGUGAGUCACAUCGGCUCCUUUUCCUCUUCUUGUGUCUGGAAGCACUGCUUUUUUUUUUUUGAGACAGAGUCGCCCAGGCUGGAGUGCAGUGGCGCGAUCUCGGCUCACUGCAAGCUCCGCCUCCUGGGUUCACGCCAUUCUCCUGCCUCAGCCUCCCGAGUAGCUGGGACUAAAGGCGCCCGCCACCGCUCCCGGCUAAUUCUUUGCAUUUUUAGUAGAGACAGAGUUUCACCGUGUUAGCCAGGAUGGUCUCGAUCUCCUGAUCUCGUGAUCCACCCGCCUCGGCCUCCUAAAGUGCUGGGAUUAGAGGCAUGAGCCACCGUGCUCAGCCAGGAAGCACUGCUUUGGUGCCUAAGCGGCCUCCGCCUGCCCCACAGGCCACGUCCUCCUGUUUCGCAGGCUCUCUCCCAACUUCUCCUGCUCUCCCUACAACAGGCUGACCUGCAAGCCUGCCUGUGUUCUCUGCCCCAUGCCCCACAGACAAACGACCAGACUAGUGGGCAGGGAUUAGGUCAACCCCUGCAGAGCGUGGCAGGCACACAGAUACAUGUCUCAUUGGAAGUGUAAUAACUAACUUUUUUUUUUUUUUUGAGACAGUCUUGCUCUGCUGCUUAGGCUGGAGUACAGUGGUGUGAUCUUGGAUCAUUGCAACCUCCGCCUCCUGGGUUCAAGAGAUCCUCCCACCUCAGCCUCCCAAGUAGCUGGGACUACAGGCAAGCGCCACCAUGCCUGGUUAAUUUUUAUAUUUUUAGUAGAGGGGGUUUCGCCAUGUUGGCCAGGCUGGUCUCGAACUCCUGUACAUGUUUGUACAUGUUUGUACAGCCUACAAUACAUGUUUGAUAAGAAAGUUAUUCAUGC